UAGAAGACAUGUGAGCCUUGAGAAUUCUUGUUGUGUGGCUGUCGAAACUCGGAGAGAAUGAGAGAAAGGGGAGCACGAAAAAGAGAAAGAAAAGAGAGAAAGGAUGAGGAUAAGAGAAAAGGGCUUCAAGGAUCUCUAGGUGCCUAAGGAUUGAUUUGCUUUGUGUUCUUGAACACUAUCAAGAAAGGUAAACACGCUAGGUAGACUUGUUUGGCACACAUGGUGAGCCGAGUCAGUUUUCCAUAAGCAUGUAUGUAUGUUGCAGGGAGCCAUUGAACAAGAAAACGA